CGUAGCUACAGCGACUAAAACGCGACGCGUCCGAGCGUCUCGCGGUCGAGAGAUUUGAUUGGAUGAAACUCACGUCUGUAUUGCCCUACGGCGGAAAAUACGUCUUGUGAUUGGAGGACACUGCACAUCAAAAAAAAAAAAAAAACGCCCCUACAUUGAAAGGUAUCUUGUGUGUUUAUAUAUUAUGGGUUACAUUGGAACAUUGUUGCAACGUGUUUGAUUAACGUCACCAACCUAAUAUUGAACGAGUCAAUUAGUGAUUUUAUCUGUCUGUGUCUCUCUCAUUUCAGAACGGCGGCAUGAUCAGUAACACGUUAUAUCUUUCCAUUCCGUUGAUUGGUUGACAUGAGAUGAUAUUGGACUUGUGCUCAUUUAUUAAUUAACAGGUGACACCAGCGCGCCUACCUUUAUAAAUCAAUCCCCUACUGUCUCGUUAAAAGGAAUCAGUUCUGGCUGUUGAUUCCAAUGAGGACUAGGUCACAGUUGAGCAGCAGGUGACCAAUGCUUAUAACUGCUUCAUUUAUGGAAAGCUUUGGGAAAAAAAACCUUCCUCAUCCUUUGAGUUUGUCAAACAAUUUGGUUUAUGCAAGUACAUUUUUACCUACCUUUACCCCUUAUUUCUCUGCCAUUUUUAAAACCUACUAUGUAAAGGCAGUAUAUGUAACCUGGAAUUGGCAUGUGUUUUAAACGUAGCCGUUGUGAAUAUGACGACGAAGAGCCGACUGGCCCAUUUGAGAUGCUACCCCGUGUGGUUCAUACUAGGCCUACACCCUUUGAGUAAAAGGGUCAUUUUAUUCUUCAGACCGAUUCCUCAAAAGAGUCCCAGUCUUUAUCAGCAACAACAUGGUGACGGCUCAGAUCUUCUGGGAGAGGCUGUGGAUGAUACUGUGACGUGCAGAGUACUGGACAGAUGCAAGGUGUACGACUCCACGUUGACUCUCCCCAGAGAGCUGCAGAACCAUCGUCUCCAUCUUGGUCUCCAUGGUCGCCAGCAUCGCCGGGAUGGGGGGAAAGUGCAACAGCUGCUCGGCGCGAGGGUUCCGGAACCAAGGCCCAGGUUGCCACGGCAGCUGGGGUUCUGUUCCCGAUUUGCCGGGGUGCUGAGUCUGGUGUCUCUCAGCUGGACAGCUCCGUGUCAUCACUGA
rnacentral:lncRNA from 1 species